GGUCUUAUGGCCCAGUUGGUUAAGGCAUCGUGCUAAUAACGCGAGGAUCCGCGGUUCGAUCCCGCGUAAGACCA